UGGGGAAUUUUGGUCAAUGGGCGAGAGCCUGAACCAGCCAAGUCGCGUGAAGGAAGACUGCCUUAUGGGUUGUAAACUUCUUUUAUACAGGAAUAAAAAGGCUUACGUGUAGGCCAUUGCAAGUACUGUAUGAAUAAGCAUCGGCUAACUCCGUGCCAGCAGCCGCGGUAAUACGGAGGAUGCGGGCGUUAUCCGGAUUUAUUGGGUUUAAAGGGUGCGCAGGCGGGCUUUUAAGUCAGCGGUGAAAUCUGGACGCUUAACGUCCAAACUGCCGUUGAAACUGGGAGUCUUGAGUAUGGAUGAAGUAGGCGGAAUUCGUUGUGUAGCGGUGACAUGCAUAGAUAUAACGAGGAACUCCGAUUGCGUAGGCAGCUUACUAAGCCUAACUGACGCUCAUGCACGAAAGCGUGGGGAUCAAACAGGAUUAGAUACCCUGGUAGUCCACGCCGUAAACGAUGAUUACUAGUUGUAUGCGAUAUGAUAGUAUGUGACUAAGCGAAAGCGAUAAGUAAUCCACCUGGGAGUACGCCGGCAACGUGAAACUUAAAUGAAUUGACGGGGUCAUAGCUGUUUCCU
rnacentral:rRNA from 1 species